AUUAGGUGGAUGGCUUGGCUCCAUUCGCCGAUGAAGGACGUAACAAGUGACGAUAUGCCCUGGCGAGCCACACGUAGGUGUUGAACCAGGGAUUUCCGAAUGCGACUUCGCGUUUAGAUCCUUCGGGAUAGGGAACGCAGGGAAUUGAAACGUCUUAGUACCUGCAGGAAGAGAAAUCAAUUGAGAUGCCGUGAGUAAGAGCGACCGAAAACGGUAGAGGGCAAACUGAAUCUGCGCAGAAAUGCGUUAGAGAUGUGGUGUUGAGGACUACCUUUCGACCUUCGCUUGUCGACGAGAAAUCUGUUGGAAAGCAGUUCCAUAGAGGGUGAUAGACCCGUAUCGGAAGGCAAGAAAGGUUUGGUAGUAUCCUGAGUAGUGUCUGUUGGAUUUCAGGCAUGAAUGUGGGGGGCAUCAACCUCCAACCCUAAAUACGUAUGGAGUCCGAUAGCGUACGAGUACCGUGAGGGAAAGCUGAAAAGAACUCUUAACAGAGAGUGAAAAGAAUCUGAAACCUAAUAGCGAUAGUGGGAUGCUGCACUUCGGUGUUGCAUCGUGCGUUUUGAAUAAUGUGCCAGGGAGUUUGUUGACAUGGCAAGGGUAAUUCCAUAGAAGUACCCGUAGGGAAACCAACAGGUCCGCAGUUUACGAGGGACGUGGUGUGAAAGUGCCAGAAGUCAUGUCAACCAGACCCGAAGCCGCUCGAUCUAGCCCUGAGUAGGGUGAAGCCAUGGUAAAACAUGGUGGAGGCCCGCAGAGGUUCUACGGACAAGUGUUCUUAUAACUUGGGGCUAGGGGUGAAAAGCCAAUCGAGAGCGGUGAUAGCUGGUUCCAACCGAAAUUGGCCGUAGUCAAGCCUCGUCGGAGACAGACAAUGUUGUAGAGCUACGGAUUGGGGAUUUAGGGGAAGAAAUUCCUCGGUUCCUUGUCCAACUCCGAAUGCUUUGUCGUCGUAGAUGACGGGAGACGGCGGCUCGUCGUAAGGGUGAGUCGCGAGAGGGGAACAACCCAAACUUGAGUUAAGGUCCCAAAAUGCUAACUAAGUGUUAAAGGGUGAAGGGUGUCGGUAUUCAUAGACAGCGAGGAGGUUGGCUUAGAAGCAGCCACCCUAUAAUAAGUGCGUAACAGCUUACUUGUCAAGAAUAUCGGCCCUGAAAAUGGACGGGGCUAAGUUAGCUACCGAUACUCAAGAACAUCUCAAAGAUGUAUGGUAGGUUGGUGUACUGCUUGGGUAGAAGCGUGGGCGCGCGCCUGCGUGGACCGAGUAGUAAUAAAAAUCCUGGUGGUAGUAGGAUCUAAGUGGAGUGAGAAUCUCCAUCGCUGAAAGGGCAAGGGUUCCUUGGCAAUGCAGAUCAGCCAAGGGUAAGCCGAUCCUAACCGCGAUCGUAAUGUGAUUAAGCGGGAAAGGGAAACCGGUUAAGAUUCCGGUGCUACUUUUGUACAUGUGGCAACACAAGCCAUGUUUCUGACCGUUUGGGAUAAGCGAGCGGGGGUUAUCUACCUCGUUAAUCAGAAUAAGCCUUAGGAGUAUCGUCAUGAUGAGAAUAAGGUUAAAUCUGAGAAUAGCGGCUUUGUCGUCUCGCUGAUUCCUAGAUGCCGUGAAAAAGAAACAUGGCGGAUCAAAAGUAAUCGUACCCAGAACCAACACAGGUGCCCCUAGGUGAGUAGCCUAAAGCGUGAGGGUGUAAUCAGGUUAAGGGAAUUCAGCAAACUAGCCCUGUAACUUCGGUUGAAGGGGUCCCUACACUCGUGUUCGUACGAGGGCGAGUGUAGGGCGCAGUGACUAGGAUGGUCCGACUGUUUAACAAAAACAUAACUUCCUGCUAGCCUGAGAAGGUGUGUACAGGAGGUGACGUCUGCCCAGUGCCCGUACUUCAAACUCCGGUUCAACGGAGCUAAGAGCGGGUAAACGGCGGGGGUAACUAUAACUCUCUUAAGGUAGCGAAAUGCCUUGCCGUUUGAAUGACGGCCUGCAUGAAUGGCGUAACGAGAUCGUCGCUGUCCCUAACCUGAGUCCCCCGAACACUCUUUUCCGGUGCAAAGGCCGGAGAUUUCCAGUGGGAAGUGAAGACCCCGUGAAACUUUACUGUAGCUUGUAGUUGUGAUGAAAAAUGUGUUGUAUAGGGUAAGUGGGAGUCGCUUAUGCUUCGGACGCCAGUUCGUAGAUAGACGCCAAUGUAACACCACUCUUCACAUUUUCCAUCACUCACUCUAAAUGAGGACAUCUGCAGGUGGACAGUUUGGCUGGGGUGGCACACCGUUGAAAAUGUAUCAAUGGUGCCCUAAGGUUGGCUCAACCGGGUCAGAAAUCCGGUGUAGAGUGCAAGAGCAAAAGCCAGCCUGAUUGGAUUUUUAACAGUAUAAAAUCCAAAGACGAAAGUCUGGUCUAGCGAACUUCAAUGGCUCCUUGGUGGGGCCUUGAAAUGACCGAAAAGUUACUCCGGGGAUAACAGAGUUGUCGCGCCCGAGAGCUCAUAUCGACGGCGCGGCUUGCUACAUCGAUGUCGGCUCUUCCUAUCCUGG
rnacentral:rRNA from 1 species